AAAGCCCAAGCCUACCAAUAGUCGAUUACCCCCAACCCUCCUCUCGAGCCAAACCCUAUCCCCACUCCCGUCCUCAUCUCAAACAGUAACCAUGGCGGCGGCCGACCAACGACCAACCAUGGCGACGGCCUCGGGCUGCCACUCCGGCGACUGACCUUCCUCGCCACUCCCUCCCAGCGACGGGGUAUUCCACCAGGCGACGCAGCUCCCGGUCGUUUCCUCUCGGCUGCUCCCUCCUGGCCACUUCCUCUGCUGACGGCGACGACCGCAUCCACAAGGCGACGGAGCACCCCGCAGCAAAUCCCGUCAGCAGGUGUUGGUGGCUCAAGCACUGCCUCAGUAGCAGCACCUUCACUCCCACAAGUUGUUGAUUCGGAUGACCCUGCGUGGAAGUAUUGCACUCUUCCAGAUGUGAACAAGAAGCAUUGGCAGCGAUGCAACUAUUGUGGCAAGAUAUGCACAGCUGGCAUUACAAGGAUAAAGUUUCACCUUUCACAAAUAACGAAUUGUGGUGUCUUACCAUGCAAGAAGGUUCCUAGUGAUGUGAGGCUGGAGAUGAUAGCUUUGCUCCUAAAGAGUGCUGAGCUGAAGGAAAAAAAGAUCGAGGGAUUGGAGGCGCUCAGAUCUAGUGUUGACUUAGAUCACUCCGAUGGAGAACAAGAAACUGAUGAAGAAGAUGGCAAUCAGGUUGUGAUUUUGAGGUCAAAACCAGGCACAAGCAGCUCAAUGGGUGGCCCUAUGGACAAAUUCUGCAAGCCUAGUAUAGAAGAAACUGUCAAGAGGAAGCAAAAAAGAAAUUGUGAAUCCGAAAAGGUUCAGUCGAAGGUGUCAACUCAGCAAAUACAACAGAGGAGGGAUAGAGCUUGUGGAUAUAUAUGUCAAUUUUUCUAUGAAGCUAGCAUCCCACAUAACACUGUCACACUUCCUAGCUUUGCAUGUAUGCUUCAGGCCAUUGGAGAUGUUGGCACAAACUUCGAUGGGCCUACUGCAUAUGAGAUGAGUGGACCAUUCUUGCAGAAAAGGAAGAAGAAGGUGUUAGAUUCAUUCAAACCACAUAAGCAAGCAUGGGAGCACACAGGUUGUACCGUCAUGACAGAUGCAUGGACAGAUAAAAAGGGCAGGGGAGUAAUGAACCUAGUUGUGCAUAGUUCUCAAGGAGUCAUAUUCUUGAAUUCAGUUGAUUGUUCAUCUGUCCAGAAAAAUGGCAAAUACAUCUUUGACCUCGUUGAUAAUUGCAUUGAGGAUAUAGGGGCAGACAAAGUCGUUCAAGUGGUGACCGACAAUGCUAGUGUCAAUGUAGCAGCAGCAAGUCUAAUGAAAGCAAAGCGACCUUCCAUUUUUUGGAAUGGAUGUGCAGCCCAUUGUAUUGAUCUCAUGUUGGAGGACAUAGGGAAGCUUGGAUCGGUUGACAAAAUAAUUGCCCAAGCAAGACAAGUAACGGUGUUCUUGUAUGCUCACACAAGGGUGUUAGCUCUGAUGAGGAAAACACUUGGGAAAGACUUGGUACGGUCAGGUGUUACUAGGUUUGCCACGGCUUAUCUCAAUCUUAAAAGCUUGCAAGACAACAAGAAGGAAAUGCUUAAACUAUUCAGAUCAGAUGAGCUACAUGAAAUAGGUUACUUAGAGAAGGACAAGGGGAAGAUGGCUCACAAAACUGUGCAAUCGGAAGCCUUCUGGAAAGGUGUUGGCGUUGCUGUCAACUACUUUGAGCCAAUGGCUAAUGUGCUAAGAAGAAUGGAUAGUGAUGUGCCCGCAAUGGGAUUCUUAUAUGGUUGUAUGUUGGAUGCAAAAAAGGAAAUUGCUGCGAGUUUUGAUAAUGAUGAGAGUCGCUUCAAAUGUGUUAUUGAUAUCAUUGACAAGAGAUGGGACAGCAAACUCAAGUCGCCACUACAUUUGGCUGGGUACUUUCUGAACCCCUACUAUUAUUAUCCAAACAAGGUUGUGAUAGAGAGGGAUGGAUCAUUUAGAGCAGCCGUGGUCCAUUGCAUCACAAGGAUGAUUGAAGAUCAAAAAACUCAAGAUGAGCUUAUUGAUGAACUAGACAAAUACGAGGCGGAGGAAGAUUCCUUUGGAAUGGACAUUGCUGUACGACAGAGAAAAAGGAAAAACUUUUCUCCAGGGAGUGUUUGCUGAAAUCUUGUGAUGUUAUUUCAUAUCACUUCCUCUGUUUCCCCUCUUUGUACUUGCCUAAAUAAUACAAUGUUUCAAUGUCUUAAUGCAGCAAAAUGGUGGCUGAAUUAUGGCACAUGUGCACCCCUGUUGAAGGAUUUGGCAAUGAAGAUUUUGAGUUUGACAUGUAGCUCCUCAGCUUGUGAGAGAAAUUGAUCAGCAUUUGAACAAGUUCAUACAAAGAAACGCAGCGGGCUACUCCAUGAUAGGAUGAGUGAUCUUGUAUUUAUCAAGUUCAACUCUAGGAUGAAGCAUAGGAGAGAGAACAAGAGUAGAGACCCAAUAGAGAAUACAAUCGUUGAUGUUCUUGAGGACGAGGAUAACGAGUUCAUCACCGGCAUUGUUGGAAAUGAUAAUGUUGUUGAACAUGUUGGUGAUGAAGAUCAAACUCAACAAGAGAGAGCUUCAACAUCACAAGAACAAGGGAAAAAGAAGAAGAGGCCUACUGCGCCCCCUAGAAAGAAGAGGAAGAAGAGCUUGCAAUCUCUCCUUAAUAGUGUCGAUGAGGAAGCUAUACUUUCUGCCUCUUCCAAUUCUUCUUCGUCGGAAUCAGAAGAUGAGUCUCCCUCGGCCCUUGCUGACUCGGAUUAAUUGCAUGGUUGGGUGUACCACUUUUGUUGUUUCAAAGUGUGCUGGUGGUAUGUUGUUAUGUUGCUAUGUCAAGUUAGUUGGCUGAACUUAUAAACCGAACCAUCUCAUGUUGUUGAUGUACCACUUUUGUUAUUCAAAGUGUGCUGGUGGUAUGUUGCUAGUUGCUAUGCCAAACUUUGCUCUGUUAUGUAAUGAAUUGAACGAUCUCCUGAUAUAUGUCCUUAUUAUGUAUUGUACUA